rnacentral:rRNA from 1 species
AACGAACGCUGGCGGCAUGCCUAACACAUGCAAGUCGAACGAGACCUUCGGGUCUAGUGGCGCACGGGUGCGUAACGCGUGGGAAUCUGCCCUUGGGUUCGGAAUAACUCGCCGAAAGGCGUGCUAAUACCGGAUGAUGACGUAAGUCCAAAGAUUUAUCGCCCAAGGAUGAGCCCGCGUUGGAUUAGCUAGUUGGUGAGGUAAAGGCUCACCAAGGCGACGAUCCAUAGCUGGUCUGAGAGGAUGAUCAGCCACACUGGGACUAAGACACGGCCCAGACUCCUACGGGAGGCAGCAGUGGGGAAUAUUGGACAAUGGGCGAAAGCCUGAUCCAGCAAUGCCGCGUGAGUGAUGAAGGCCUUAGGGUUGUAAAGCUCUUUUACCCGGGAUGAUAAUGACCGUACCGGGAGAAUAAGCUCCGGCUAACUCCGUG